UACGUAGGGUGCAAGCGUUGUCCGGAAUUAUUGGGCGUAAAGAGCUCGUAGGCGGUCUGUCGCGUCUGCUGUGAAAACUCAGGGCUUAACCCUGAGCUUGCAGUGGGUACGGGCAGACUAGAGGUAUGCAGGGGAGAACGGAAUUCCUGGUGUAGCGGUGAAAUGCGCAGAUAUCAGGAGGAACACCAGUGGCGAAGGCGGUGCUCUGGGCCGGAACUGACGCUGAGGAGCGAAAGCGUGGGGAGCAAACAGG
rnacentral:rRNA from 1 species